AUUUAUAUAAUAUAAUUAGUAUAUUUGACUUCCAAUCAAAAAGUUUAAAAAAAAAAUUAAUAUAAAUA
rnacentral:tRNA from 1 species